AUUGAACGCUGGCGGCAGGCUUAACACAUGCAAGUCGAGCGGGGGAAGGUAGCUUGCUACCGGACCUAGCGGCGGACGGGUGAGUAAUGCUUAGGAAUCUGCCUAUUAGUGGGGGACAACAUCUCGAAAGGGAUGCUAAUACCGCAUACGUCCUACGGGAGAAAGCAGGGGAUCUUCGGACCUUGCGCUAAUAGAUGAGCCUAAGUCGGAUUAGCUAGUUGGUGGGGUAAAGGCCGACCAAGGCGAAGAUCUGUAGCGGGUCUGAGAGGAUGAUCCGGCACACUGGGACUGAGACACGGCCCAGACUCCUACGGGAGGCAGCAGUGGGGAAUAUUGGACAAAGGGGGGAACCCUGAUCCAGCCAUGCCGCGUGUGUGAAGAAGGCCUUAUGGUUGUAAAGCACUUUAAGCGAGGAGGAGGCUACUCUAGUUAAUACCUAGGGAUAGUGGACGUUACUCGCAGAAUAAGCACCGGCUAACUCUGUGCCAGCAGCCGCGGUAA
rnacentral:rRNA from 1 species